rnacentral:misc_RNA from 1 species
AAAGUCGUAACAAGGUUUCCGUAGGUGAACCUGCGGAAGGAUCAUUACAAAUCCUGACACGUCCUUAUCCUGUUGAACAUGUUCCUCUCUGUGCGUGAUGGUGGAUGUGAUGUGGGAAAGAGUCUCGCGGUAAACCGUGGCUACAGCACCGCACCAUCAACAACAUCAUCAUGACACGAGAACACCUUUACAAACUACGUGUGACCCUUUUCAUGAUACAAGAGCGAGCGGUGACCUCUCUCUUCUUGCCAAAAACGAAAACCACCACCUGAACGAACAACCUAGAAACAACUUAUAACAAUGGAUCUCUAGGCUCUU